rnacentral:rRNA from 1 species
GGUGAACGCUGGCGGCGUGCUUAACACAUGCAAGUCGAACGAGAAGUGAAGACGGAAACCUUCGGGCGGAAGGCUUUAUUUCGAGUGGCGGACGGGUGAGUAACGCGUGGGUAACCUGCCUCAUACAGGGGGAUAACAGUUGGAAACGACUGUUAAUACCGCAUAAGACCACAGCACCGCAUGGUGCGGGGGUAAAAACUCCGGUGGUAUGAGAUGGACCCGCGUUCGAUUAGCCAGUUGGCGGGGUAACGGCCCACCAAAGCGACGAUCGAUAGCCGAUCUGAGAGGAUGACCGGCCACAUUGGGACUGAGACACGGCCCAAACUCCUACGGGAGGCAGCAGUGGGGAAUAUUGCACAAUGGGGGAAACCCUGAUGCAGCGACGCCGCGUGAGUGAAGAAGUAUUUCGGUAUGUAAAGCUCUAUCAGCAGGGAAGAAAAUGACGGUACCUGAGGAAGAAGCCCCGGCUAACUACGUG